rnacentral:rRNA from 1 species
GAUGAACGCUGGCGGCGUGCCUAAUACAUGCAAGUCGAGCGGACAGAUGAUGAGUUUGCUCCGUUGACGUUAGCGGCGGACGGGUGUGUAACGUGUGGAUCACGUCCUUAUAUUUCUGGGAUCAUUUCGGGAAUCCGGCUCUAAUAGCAGAGAAUAUAUUGAACCGCAGUGUGCAUUGGUAAAUUACGGUUUUUGGGUCUGUACUAGCUGCAUCCGCGCCGCAUUAGCUAGUUGGUAAGGUAACGGCCUACCAAGGCAACGAUGCGUAGCCGAGCUGAGGGAGUGAUAGGCCGCACUGGAACUGAGACACCGACAAGACUCCUACGAGAGGCAGCAGUAGGGAAUCUUACGCAAUGGGCGGAAGCAUGACACAACGAGGCCGCGUGAGUGACGGAGGCCUUCGGAUCGUAAUGCUCUGUUAUUAGGGAAGAACAACUGUCUAAGUAACCAAAGCCGUCUUGACGGUACCUAGUCAAGAAGCACCGGCUAACUACGUG